rnacentral:rRNA from 1 species
GGAGGAAAGAAACCAACAGGGAUUGCCCUAGUAACGGCGAGUGAAGCGGCAACAGCUCAAAUUUGAAAUCUGGCUUCGGCCCGAGUUGUAAUUUGCAGAGGAUGCUUCUGGCGCGGUGCCUUCCGAGUUCCCUGGAACGGGACGCCAUAGAGGGUGAGAGCCCCGUAUGGAUGGACACCAAGCCUGUGUGAAGCUCCUUCGACGAGUCGAGUAGUUUGGGAAUGCUGCUCUAAAUGGGAGGUACAUCUCUUCUAAAGCUAAAUACCGGCCAGAGACCGAUAGCGCACAAGUAGAGUGAUCGAAAGAUGAAAAGCACCUUGAAAAGGGGGUUAAAUAGUACGUGAAAUUGUUGAAAGGGAAGCGCUUGUGACCAGACUUGUGCUAGGCGGCUCAUCCGGUGUUCUCACCGGUGCACUCCGCCUAGCUCAGGCCAGCAUCGGUUCUCGCGGGGGGAUAAGAACGGUGGGAACGUAGCUCCUCACGGGGAGUGUUAUAGCCCAUCGUACGAUACCUUCGCGGGGACCGAGGUUCGCGCAUCUGCAAGGAUGCUGGCGUAAUGGUCACCAGCGACCCGUC